rnacentral:rRNA from 1 species
UGAGGAAUAUUGGUCAAUGGGCGAGAGCCUGAACCAGCCAAGUAGCGUGCAGGAUGACGGCCCUAUGGGUUGUAAACUGCUUUUAUGUGGGGAUAAAGUGCGUGACGUGUCAUGCAUUGCAGGUACCACAUGAAUAAGGACCGGCUAAUUCCGUGCCAGCAGCCGCGGUAAUACGGAAGGUCCGGGCGUUAUCCGGAAUUAUUGGGCUUAAAGGGCAUCUAGGCGGUAAGACAAGUUGAAGGUGAAAACCUGUGGCUCAACCAUAGGCUUGCCUACAAAACUGUUGAACUAGAGUACUGGAAAGGUGGGUGGAACUACACGAGUAGAGGUGAAAUUCGUAGAUAUGUGUAGGAAUGCCGAUGAUGAAGAUAACUCACUGGACAGAAACUGACGCUGAAGUGCGAAAGCUAGGGGAGCAAACAGG